GAUGAAGAACGCAGUGAAAUGCGAUAACUAGUGUGAAUUGCAGAAUUCCGUGAAUCAUCGAGUCUUUGAACGCACAUUGCGCCCCCUGGUAUUCCGGGGGGCAUGCCUGUCCGAGCGUCAUUGCUGCCCAUCAAGCACGGCUUGUGUGUUGGGUCGUCGUCCCCCCCUCCGGGGGGGGACGGGCCCUAAAGGCAGCGGCGGCACCGCGUCCGAUCCUCGAGCGUAUGGGGCUUUGUCACCCGCUCUGUAGGCCCGGCCGGCGCUUGCCGAACGCAAAACAACCAUUUUUUCCAGGUUGACCUCGGAUCAGGUAGGGAUACCCGCUGAACUUAAGCAUAUCAAUAAGCGGAGGA
rnacentral:misc_RNA from 1 species